UGAGUAACCUGCCCUUAACUCUGGGAUAAGCCUGGGAAACUGGGUCUAAUACCGGAUAUGACUCCUCAUCGCAUGGUGGGGGGUGGAAAGCUUUAUUGUGGUUUUGGAUGGACUCGCGGCCUAUCAGCUUGUUGGUGGGGUGAUGGCCUACCAAGGCGACGACGGGUAGCCGGCCUGAGAGGGCGACCGGCCACACUGGGACUGAGAUACGGCCCAGACUCCUACGGGAGGCAG
rnacentral:rRNA from 1 species